GCCAGACUCCUACGGGAGGCAGCAGUGGGGGAUAUUGCACAAUGGGGGGAACCCUGAUGCAGCGACGCCGCGUGGGUGAAGGAGCGUUUCGGCGCGUAAAGCCCUAUCGGCAGGGAAGAAGGAGGACGGUACCUGACUAAGAAGCCCCGGCUAACUACGUGCCAGCAGCCGCGGUAAUACGUAGGGGGCAAGCGUUAUCCGGAUUUACUGGGUGUAAAGGGGGCGCAGACGGCAGCGCAAGCCAGGAGUGAAAGCCCGGGGCCCAACCCCGGGACUGCUCUUGGGACUGCGCGGCUGGAGUGCAGGAGGGGCAGGCGGAAUUCCUGGUGUAGCGGUGAAAUGCGUAGAUAUCAGGAGGAACACCGGUGGCGAAGGCGGCCUGCUGGACUGCGACUGACGUUGAGGCCCGAAAGCGUGGGGAGCAAACAGGAUUAGAUACCCCAGUAU
rnacentral:rRNA from 1 species